rnacentral:ribozyme from 13 species
CAAAUAAAAGUAGAAAAGAAACAAAGGAGAGAGCAGAUAGAAAACGACACUCCGACCCCAAAAAAUGGCUGGAGUUUGCAUUCUUUGUAAUUUUUUUUCUCUUUGUCUUGUCCAUCUUUCUUUUUUGGUAUCUCAAUACUGAUGAAAACAACAACAA